rnacentral:rRNA from 1 species
UAUGACGUACUUGUACUGAUUGAGAUUUUAACACGAAGUGAGUGGCGAACGGGUGAGUAACACGUGGGUAACCUGCCCAGAAGUAGGGGAUAACACCUGGAAACAGAUGCUAAUACCGUAUAACAGAGAAAACCGCAUGGUUUUCUUUUAAAAGAUGGCUCUGCUAUCACUUCUGGAUGGACCCGCGGCGUAUUAGCUAGUUGGUGAGGUAAAGGCUCACCAAGGCAGUGAUACGUAGCCGACCUGAGAGGGUAAUCGGCCACAUUGGGACUGAGACACGGCCCAGACUCCUACGGGAGGCAGCAGUAGGGAAUCUUCCACAAUGGACGCAAGUCUGAUGGAGCAACGCCGCGUGAGUGAAGAAGGGUUUCGGCUCGUAAAGCUCUGUUGUUAAAGAAGAACGUGGGUAAGAGUAACUGUUUACCCAGUGACGGUAUUUAACCAGAAAGCCACGGCUAACUACGUGCCAGCAGCCGCGGUAAUACGUAGGUGGCAAGCGUUAUCCGGAUUUAUUGGGCGUAAAGCGAGCGCAGGCGGUCUUUUAAGUCUAAUGUGAAAGCCUUCGGCUCAACCGAAGAAGUGCAUUGGAAACUGGGAGACUUGAGUGCAGAAGAGGACAGUGGAACUCCAUGUGUAGCGGUGAAAUGCGUAGAUAUAUGGAAGAACACCAGUGGCGAAGGCGGCUGUCUGGUCUGCAACUGACGCUGAGGCUCGAAAGCAUGGGUAGCGAACAGGAUUAGAUACCCUGGUAGUCCAUGCCGUAAACGAUGAUUACUAAGUGUUGGAGGGUUUCCGCCCUUCAGUGCUGCAGCUAACGCAUUAAGUAAUCCGCCUGGGGAGUACGACCGCAAGGUUGAAACUCAAAAGAAUUGACGGGGGCCCGCACAAGCGGUGGAGCAUGUGGUUUAAUUCGAAGCUACGCGAAGAACCUUACCAGGUCUUGACAUCUUCUGACAGUCUAAGAGAUUAGAGGUUCCCUUCGGGGACAGAAUGACAGGUGGUGCAUGGUUGUCGUCAGCUCGUGUCGUGAGAUGUUGGGUUAAGUCCCGCAACGAGCGCAACCCUUAUUACUAGUUGCCAGCAUUAAGUUGGGCACUCUAGUGAGACUGCCGGUGACAAACCGGAGGAAGGUGGGGACGACGUCAAAUCAUCAUGCCCCUUAUGACCUGGGCUACACACGUGCUACAAUGGAUGGUACAACGAGUCGCGAAACCGCGAGGUUAAGCUAAUCUCUUAAAACCAUUCUCAGUUCGGACUGUAGGCUGCAACUCGCCUACACGAAGUCGGAAUCGCUAGUAAUCGCGGAUCAGCAUGCCGCGGUGAAUACGUUCCCGGGCCUUGUACACACCGCCCGUCACACCAUGAGAGUUU